AACGAACGCUGGCGGCAUGCCUAACACAUGCAAGUCGAACGAAGGCUUCGGCCUUAGUGGCGCACGGGUGAGUAACGCGUGGGAAACUGCCUAUUGGUGGGGAAUAACGACGGGAAACUGUCGCUAAUACCGCAUAAGCCCUUCGGGGGAAAGAUUUAUCGCCGAUAGAUGUGCCCGCGUCCGAUUAGCUAGUUGGUGAGGUAAUGGCUCACCAAGGCGACGAUCGGUAGCUGGUCUGAGAGGAUGAUCAGCCACACUGGGACUGAGACACGGCCCAGACUCCUACGGGAGGCAGCAGUGGGGAAUAUUGGACAAUGGGCGAAAGCCUGAUCCAGCAAUGCCGCGUGAGUGAUGAAGGCCUUAGGGUUGUAAAGCUCUCUCGGGUGGGACGAUGAUGACGGUACCACCAGAAGAAGCCCCGGCUAACUUCGUGCCAGCAGCCGCGGUAAGAC
rnacentral:rRNA from 1 species